GCUCGCGGAUUUCUAAUUGACCCGAUCAUCUCAAAUGCCUUUAAUUUAGGAACCUGGUUGUAUUUCCAAAUGAAUUUCGCAAGUUACUUUUUCCUCUGUUCUUCGAUAUCAAUUAUUCAUACUCAAUUUUCAUCCCCAAUUUCAGUUGGAUCGUCACUUUUUCUUCAACCUCUCCUUAAAUCGGAGACGUAAAAUCUAUAUAUCAUUUUUUAUUUCGUCUGUAUAUCAUUCUCUUUCCAUCAUUAUUUUAAUUAUCAACCUUACAUAGUCUUACGUAAAAUCUCGAUUCAGAUGGAUCCAUCGAAAAUUAGUUAAAUCGAUCGGAGGUUGUGUGAAGAUUAAAUCGUAAUAUAAGAUUAAGGGAUGGAGUUAUUUCAGAUCGGAGAACUUCAGGAUGCCUGAAAAAAGAAGAUAGAAAUGGAGAAGGAACCAAUACAAAUGGUGGUGCCUCAUGAUGAUUGUCUCUGAAAGGAUUUCAGUGAUGGUGGAACUGAUGAUCUAGAAAAUAUCACAAAGAAGUUGUGUUGUAAUCU